rnacentral:rRNA from 1 species
UGGGGAAUAUUGGACAAUGGAGGAAACUCUGAUCCAGCAAUUCUGUGUGAGUGAAGAAGGUUUUAGGACUGUAAAACACUUUUAGUAGGGAAGAAAAAAAUGACGGUACCUACAGAAGAAGCACCGGCUAAAUACGUGCCAGCAGCCGCGGUAAUACGUAUGUUGCGUGCGUUAUCCGGAAUUAUUGGGCUUAAAGGGCAUCUAGGCGGUAAGACAAGUUGAAGGUGAAAACCUGUGGCUCAACCAUAGGCUUGCCUACAAAACUGUUGAACUAGAGUACGGGAAAGGUGGGUGGAACGACACGAGUAGAGGUGAAAUUCGUAGAUAGGUGUAGGAAUGCCGAUGAAGAAGAUAACUCACUUGACAGAAACUGUCGCUGAAGUGCGAAAGCUAGGGGAGCAAACAGG